CCUACGAGUAGCAGCAGUGGGGAAUAUUGCACAAUGGGGGAAACCCUGAUGCAGCGACGCCGCGUGAGCGAUGAAGUAUUUCGGUAUGUAAAGCUCUAUCAGCAGGGAAACAAAUGACGGUACCUGACUAAGACGCCCCGGUUAACUACGUGCCAGCAGCCGCGGGAAUACGUAGGGGGCCAGCGUUAUCCGGCUUUACUGGGGGGAAAGGGGUCGUAGACGGCUGUGCAAGACAGAUGUGAAAGCCCGGGGCUCAACCCCGGGACUGCAUUUGGAACUGUGUGGCUGGAGUGUCGGAGAGGCAUGCGGAAUUCCUAGUGUAGCGGUGAAAUGCAUAGAUAUUAGGAGGAACACCAGUGGCGAAGGCGGCCUGCUGGACGAUGACUGACGUUGAGGCUCGAAAGCGUGGGGAGCAAACAGGAUUAGAUACCCGGGUAGUC
rnacentral:rRNA from 1 species